rfam:Triticum aestivum genome assembly, contig: Triticum_aestivum_CS42_TGACv1_scaffold_392967_5AS
GUCCCUUCGGGGACAUCUGAUAAAAUUGGAACGAUACAGAGAAGAUUAGCAUGGCCCCUGCGCAAGGAUGACACGCACAAAUUGAGAAAUGGUCCAUUUUUUU